GCACGUUCACUCACACAUACUGCUUCUACUCUGGAAGCACGCAUACACAUAUAUCCACUCAUUUCCAUCUCUAGAGCCACCCAAAAAUAUUCUACUCCUAAUUCGGGAGAGAAUAGCCAAAAAUAUUUCUGUUUUCCCCCGUGAAAUAAAUGCUUAAGUCAUCUUGGUUACUACCACCUGCUAUAUUAUUUCAGGAGAUGAGUACUCUAAAAAAAAUAGAUACGAGGAAAUAAAAAGGGGCAAGUGCCCGGAACCUCGAAAGAAAAGAAAAAGUGAGACGAGAGGUAAAAAUGGACAGGUGUGUGACAGUAGAAUUAGGUGUACAAGAUACCCAUCUGAGAGGAAAGAAAAAGAAAAAGUAGAGCAUCUCAUUCUCCACAAAAGUUUCAAAAGAGCAAGAAAGGUAUGUAUCCCAUCAAAAGAGCAAAAGUAGAAUUAGACUUUCACCAUCAUCACCAUACACCAUUCAUUCGCCACACAUGCACAUCUUGAUUUGACUUAUUGACUUGUUUCUCUGGAUCCAUGGUUUGACUAUGCAAUAAAUGUCUUGUAAGUAUGUAUACUUUAUAUCCCACCUAUGAGCUCCAGAUAUCAAAGCCUUAUUAGAGUAGGAUGAGAGAGAAGGCAAUGGCACUAUGCCUUAUAUACCACAUAUUUUGAGAGAAGGCAUAUACCAUCACUGCCUUGGUAAGGAUCCAGAAAUACCACAAACGAGAGAUCAGAGAGAGUCAUACAAGGAAUCUUUGAGUUUUAUUUGAAAAUCUGCAAAAACCCCAGAGCUAUAGCUGAUCAAGAAUAAGCGACAUGGCGCUUGACUAGACCGUUCCAUCUUUUAACUACUCAAGACAAAAGUG
rnacentral:lncRNA from 1 species